GCUUACUACCAUACCAGCCUGAGUACCCCCGAUCUCAUCAGAUAUCAGAAGCUAAACAGGGUCGGGCCUGGUUAGUACCUGGAUGGGAGUCCGCCUGGGAAUAACAGGUGCUGUAUGUU
rnacentral:rRNA from 1 species